AAUUAGAAAGCGAAAUAUCGCAUUUAGUUUCGACCUAAAUUUUGGACAUUUAAGACCUCUAAUUU
rnacentral:tRNA from 1 species